rnacentral:ncRNA from 1 species
AUCUUCAGGGCAGGGCGAAAGUCCCUACCGGCGGUAAAGCCCGCGAGCCGAAAGGCAUGAUCCCGGUGAAAUUCCGGAGCCGACAGUUACAGUCUGGAUGGGAGAAGAUU